rnacentral:misc_RNA from 1 species
AAAAAACCUUUGGAUGAUGAAGAUAUGCGCAGAGCUUGGGAGAAUUUCUCUGUGAAACUUGAAACUGGCCAUGCGCAAAUUGGGGCUUCUUCUGGAAUGCUAUUUUCAUUUGUUGAGGGGGCCUUUGUAACUGCGCUUAGAAAUGGUGAUUGGAUUUUGCUGGAUGAGGUGAAUUUAGCUCCUACUGAGACCUUGCAGAGAAUUAAUGGUGUACUUGAAGGAGACUAUGGGUCACUCUGUUUAGCUGAAAGAGGGGAUGUCAGCCACAUACCUAGACAUCCUAGUUUCCGUAUAUUUGCCUGCAUGAAUCCUGCAACUGAUGCUGGAAAAAGAGACUUGCCAUAUUCUUUGCGGGGCAGGUUUACAGAGUACUUUGUUGAUGACGUGUUGGAUAAAGAAGAUCUGAAAUUAUUUGUUAACAAGUUUAUGGAGGAGACCCGAUCAAAUGUGAAACUAGAACAAAGAAUAAUUAAUUUUUAUGAAACAGCCAAAGUGAACUCUGAAGAAAAUCUGCAAGAUGGGGCUAAUCAGAAGCCUCAAUACAGUUUAAGGUCUUUAUACCGUG